GCCCGAUACCCAACUUUAAAAGUAAGACAGGUAAUAUUCUCAGAGAGAACCCUGUUACCUGUGUGUGCAUGUGUGAGUUUCCAAAAAAAUCGAGGGAGUACUUCCAGAAAAUCUAUAGUUAAUAAAGCUAUCAACCUAAAGAGAACUGUAGCAAUUCUCCCAAGAAAAUAAAUAGAUGUAUAACAAAUUGGAUGAAGUUUAGAAGUAUCUAU
rnacentral:lncRNA from 1 species